rnacentral:rRNA from 1 species
AGUGAACGCUGGCGGCAGGCCUAACACAUGCAAGUCGAACGGCAGCACAAGAGAGCUUGCUCUCUGGGUGGCGAGUGGCGGACGGGUGAGGAAUGCAUCGGAAUCUGCCCAUUUGUGGGGGAUAACCUCGGGAAACCGGGACUAAUACCGCAUACGACCUACGGGUGAAAGCAGGGGAUCUUCGGACCUUGCGCAGAUGGAUGAGCCGAUGCCGGAUUAGCUAGUUGGAGGGGUAAAGGCCCACCAAGGCGACGAUCCGUAGCUGGUCUGAGAGGAUGAUCAGCCACACUGGGACUGAGACACGGCCCAGACUCCUACGGGAGGCAGCAGUGGGGAAUAUUGGACAAUGGGCGCAAGCCUGAUCCAGCCAUGCCGCGUGUGUGAAGAAGGCCUUCGGGUUGUAAAGCACUUUUGUUGGGAAAGAAAAGCAGCCGGCUAAUACCCGGUUGUCAUGACGGUACCCAAAGAAUAAGCACCGGCUAACUUCGUG